AUACAUGCCUAUAACAUAACGUUAAUGCACCCGAUCCCAUUAGAACUCCCUAGUUAAGCACACUCGUGUUAGACUAGAACUAGGAUGGAUGACUACUCAGGAAGUCCUAGUGUUUUACAUG
rnacentral:rRNA from 1 species